rnacentral:rRNA from 1 species
UACGUAGGGGGCUAGCGUUGUCCGGAUUCAUUGGGCGUAAAGCGCACGCAGGCGGCUUGGUAAGUCAUCGGUGAAAUCCCUCGGCUCAACCGGGGGGGGUCCGGCGAAACUGCCAGGCUUGAGGUCGGGAGGGGGAAGCGGAAUUCCGGGUGUAGUGGUGGAAUGCGUAGAUAUCCGGAGGAACACCAGUGGCGAAGGCGGCUUCCUGGCCCGAAUCCGACGCUGAGGUGCGAAAGCGUGGGGAGCGAACCGG